rnacentral:lncRNA from 1 species
AGUUGGGUCACUGCGGACGGUGAAAUGGGUAUCAGACGAGCCGGGAGUGUCUCAGUGACCGGUGGAGCGGUGCGCAGUGUUCUCUGCACCUGGCCCGCGGCGACCACGUGAUCAGUCGAGCACGAACGGCGGCACCUGGACGAUGGUCACGUGACGGGCGGACUCUGGAAGGACGUGGUUACUGGUCAGGCUCAGUGAACGUGACGAAUGUGUUCGGUGUGCACCUGGACCGUCGGCGCGUGUCACGCGGAGGAAGCGGUGGUAUUACCGGUCACGCGCUGCUACCUACCCAGUCAGCGGGACAUGACGGCUGCACAGGGCGCAUUACCCGGUCAUAACCUGCGGUCAUUUGGAGCCUCCGGUCAUGAACCGCGGUCAGAAGGUCCGCUGACCGCUCCUGACCGAAGCACUCAUGGACAUUGGACACGUUGAGAUAGAGUUGCGUUUCGUGCGAGUGAACAGGCGGCUGGCGGCUGUCGGAAUGGGCGACUGUUCGCGGCGCAGCCGUCAACCACAGCCGACGGGUCUGAGUGCCUCACCUGUAAACAGGUCGGAGCGGGGUCUGUAGCCGCUGACAGCAGGUGAGCUGGUGCC